GCGUUGGAGCUCUCCCAUAUGGUCGACCUGCAGGCGGCCGCGAAUUCACUAGUGAUUCGUAUUACCGCGGCUGCUGGCACAGAGUUAGCCGGUGCUUCUUCUGUAGGUAAUGUCAAUCCUUAGUGCUAUUAACACUAAGGCCUUCUUCCCUACCGAAAGUGCUUUACAACCCGCAGGCCUUCUUCACACACGCGGCAUUGCUGGAUCAGGCUUUCGCCCAUUGUCCAAUAUUCCCCACUGCUGCCUCCCGUAGGAGUCUGGGCCGUGUCUCAGUCCCAGUGUGGCUGAUCAUUCUCUCAAACCAGCUACAGAUCAUUGGCUUGGUAGGCCAUUACCCUACCAACUACCUAAUCUGGCGCGGGCUCAUCCAUCAGCGAUAAAUCUUUCCUCCAAAGAGAAUAUACGGUAUUAGCAAUUAUUUCUAAAUGUUAUUCCGUACUGAUGGGCAGAUUCCCACGUGUUACUCACCCGUCUGCCACUAAUUUAUUUAAAGCAAGCUCUAAAUAAAUCCGUUCGACUUGCAUGUGUUAAGCAUACCGAAAGCGUUCGUUCUGAGCCAUGAUCAAACUCUAAUCGAAUUCCCGCGGCC
rnacentral:rRNA from 1 species